rnacentral:rRNA from 1 species
GAUGAACGCUGGCGGCGUGCCUAAUACAUGCAAGUCGAGCGAACAGACGAGGAGCUUGCUCCUCUGACGUUAGCGGCGGACGGGUGAGUAACACGUGGAUAACCUACCUAUAAGACUGGGAUAACUUCGGGAAACCGGAGCUAAUACCGCAUAAUAUAUUGAACCGCAUGGUUCAAUAGUGAAAGACGGUUUUGCUGUCACUUAUAGAUGGAUCCGCGCCGCAUUAGCUAGUUGGUAAGGUAACGGCUUACCAAGGCAACGAUGCGUAGCCGACCUGAGAGGGUGAUAGGCCACACUGGAACUGAGACACGGUCCAGACUCCUACGGGAGGCAGCAGUAGGGAAUCGUCCGCAGUGGGGGAAAGCCUGACGGAGCAACGCCGCGUGAGUGAUGAAGGUCUUCGGAGCGUAAAACUCUGUUAUUAGGGAAGAGCAAAUGUGUAAGUAACUAUGCACGUCGUGACGGUACCUAAUCAGAAAGCCACGGCUAACUACGUG